rnacentral:tRNA from 1 species
GGGGAUGUGAUGGAAUGGUAGACAUAGCAGACUUAAAAUCUGCUGGCUCAAAUAGCCGUGAGGGUUCGAAUCCCUCUAUCCCCA